rnacentral:rRNA from 1 species
AGCAGUCGCCACGGGAAUACGGAGGGUGCAAGCGUUAAUCGGAAUUACUGGGCGUAAAGCGCACGCAGGCGGUCUGACAAGUCAGAUGUGAAAUCCCCGGGCUUAACCUGGGAACUGCAUUUGAAACUGUCAGGCUGGAGUCUUGUAGAGGGGGGUGGAAUUCCAGGUGUAGCGGUGAAAUGCGUAGAGAUCUGGAGGAAUACCGGUGGCGAAGGCGGCCCCCUGGACAAAGACUGACGCUCAGGUGCGAAAGCGUGGGGAGCAAACAGGAUUAGAUACCCGUGUAGUCCCUGUCUCUUAUAC